rnacentral:tRNA from 1 species
GCCCGAAUGGCUCAGUGGUAAAGCGUCUCACUAGUAUUCCAAGCUCCACAAAGGUGUUGGAUCCGAAAUGAGAAGAUCGCCAGUUCGAUUCUGGCUUUGGGCA